AGUUAAUGAACUUGUAUAAGUUUAUAUUUUGAAAAUAUAAUAAAGAGAACAAAUAUCUCUAUUAACUU
rnacentral:tRNA from 1 species